rnacentral:lncRNA from 1 species
AAAAAUUAUAUCCUGUUUUAUUAUUUAAAUCAAUAAUGGUUAUCACAUACAUAAUAAUGAAAAUUCAAAAUGAAUAUUCAUAACAAUUUGCAUAUUCUUACAAAGUCUUGUGUAUAUUCAAAUACAUGUUUAGCGUAAAGUAAAAGCUCCUUGUUGAUUUCUGCAAAGCAAAAAUAGAAUAUAAAUAUAAUGAAAUGUAUUAUUGGAUAUAAAGCCUUGUUCUUUAACAGUUAUCCAUGAUGCUACCAAAUGUAGCUUACAAAAAAUUUGCUUAGAUUGAAAGAGAGCCUGUGGAUGAAAAAUUGAUAUUAGAAGUUAUUUAAACAAGCUGUAUCAAUCAUUUAUCUGACAGAGACUCUUAAUCUGAUAUUGGUUUGAACUGUUAUGAAGUUGGUGACAUCUGAAAAUUGUGCUAAUAAGAAAUAUUUGAUAAUGAGUGAUUUUCUGGUUUCUUGGGUGAGUUUAUUUACAUAAAUGUAGCAUAACACAUGCCUAGCUGUGAAAUUUCAAAUUAAAAUAUCUAUCACUAAAAAAUUUAAAUAAUUAUUUAUGAUUACAGAACAUAAACUGUAGAACGAUUUUCAGUAUAUAUAUACACAAUAGCAAAUGCUGAAAUAAAAAAAUCCUAAUAAGUUUAUCUAUUAUCAUAUUAAACCUUGAUUUAUACGGUGGGAUCAACCAAAGUGAUUUUGAAAUCAUUCGAAAUUAAAGUGAUAUUUCCAGUCAGAAUAUGAUUCCACCAUCAGUAUAAAAAGCUUAUAUGUAUAAAUCAUUAAAAAAUAUUUACAGGUGUAAUUUGUUUAUGCAUUCAAAUUAAUUAGAUCAAAUAUCCAUAAUUUGUCGGACACAGGUAGGAAAAGGCAAUGAGAAGUAAAAAUUUAGGUAACUGGUAAAAAUAAGCUUUAAAUGAAUAAAAUAAAAAUGUAAGCUUUAAUUGAAUGUCAUAAUAAAAUAUAGCAUUUAAAUAUACAAUAUUUUAAAAAAUAUAUUUUUAAUUUAUUGAUAUUUGUUGUUUUAAAUGUAAUAUACAGGGCGUAUGACAUUUGCGCCGAUUUUGAAAAUUUUCAUUCUUUCAUUUGCGCCAAUUUCAUUUUUUCAUUUGCGCCGAUUUUAUAAUUUCUCGUAAUUGGAUUUACAGGUAAGUUUUAAUACUUUUACCUGAACUAUAAUUUGAGGGUAUAUUGGUAAAUCUGGAUAUCAACGUUGUUCACUUAUGUUAAAUAGAUAUAGGAUGAUGUGGUAGGAGUGCCAAUGAGUUAAUUCUCCAUCCAAGUAACUAUUAAUAAAAGUAAACCAUUUUAAAGUUUAUUUAGAUUCAUAUUGUUCUGGAACUUCGUUGUAACACGAUGGACAUAUUGUCCACUUAAACGGGCUGAGGAGUCAAUUCUUUUCUUUUUUUUUCAUCAUCGACGGCCAUACAUAUCGGAAGGCGAGUGUCCUGAAAAAUAACAUAUCUUACCGAUGUACCCCCAAAUCUUGUAAAGCCAGAGACACAACGGAUUCUGAUGGGAAGACUAUUGUCAAAACAAAGAAAGAACAUACUCAUGUGCUGUUGACCGAAAGACCGAGGCUUACGAACUACGGGUACGGCCAAGGAAAAAGUCUGAAGAUGUGUCUAGUGCGCCUUUAAAGACUGGGAUGAAGAGUUAUUUCCUUGACACUCAUAACACAUCUUAUUAUAUCUAUUCACCUGUAAUUACCUGUAAUUUACCUGUAAAAAAAUUGGCGCAAAUGAAAGAAAAAAUCGGCGCUAAUGAAAUGCAGAUAACAACAUACUGUACUUUAAAUAUAACAAUAAACAUGCCUUAGAUUAAUGACUAAAAUU